AACGAACGCUGGCGGCAUGCCUAACACAUGCAAGUCGAACGGGAUCCGGACUUCGGUUCGGUGAGAGUGGCGGACGGGUGAGUAACGCGUGGGAACCUGCCCAGCGGUGGGGGAUAACUGCGGGAAACUGCAGCUAAUACCGCAUGAGCCCGAGAGGGGAAAGAUUUAUCGCCAUUGGAGGGGCCCGCGUUCGAUUAGGUAGUUGGUGGGGUAACGGCCCACCAAGCCGACGAUCGAUAGCUGGUCUGAGAGGAUGAUCAGCCACACUGGGACUGAGAUACGGCCCAGACUCCUACGGGAGGCAGCAGUGGGGAAUAUUGGACAAUGGGGGCAACCCUGAUCCAGCAAUGCCGCGUGAGUGAUGAAGGCCUUCGGGUUGUAAAGCUCUUUUGCCAGGGACGAUGAUGACGGUACCUGGAGAAUAAGCCCCGGCUAACCUCGUGCCAGCCGCCGCCGUAAGAC
rnacentral:rRNA from 1 species